GACGAACGCUGGCGGCGUGCUUAACACAUGCAAGUCGAACGGAAAGGCCUCUUUCGGGGGGUACUCGAGUGGCGAACGGGUGAGUAACACGUGAGUAACCUGCCCUUGACUUUGGGAUAACCUCAGGAAACUGGGGCUAAUACCGGAUAGGAGCUCCUGCUGCAUGGUGGGGGUUGGAAAGUUUCGGCGGUUGGGGAUGGACUCGCGGCUUAUCAGCUUGUUGGUGGGGUAGUGGCUUACCAAGGCUUUGACGGGUAGCCGGCCUGAGAGGGUGACCGGCCACAUUGGGACUGAGAUACGGCCCAGACUCCUACGGGAGGCAGCGGUGGGGAAUAUUGCACAAUGGGUGGAAGCCUGAUGCAGCAACGCCGUGUGCGGGAUGACGGCCUUCGGGUUGUAAACCGCUUUCGCUCAUGACGAAGCUUUGUGUGACGGUAGUGGGUAAAGAAGCACCGGCUAACUACGUG
rnacentral:rRNA from 1 species